ACAAAGUUCGGACCGUUGGUCUACCGAGCAAUAUUACCCGCCCAGUGGAAGAUCUUCCUUUUGUCGU
rnacentral:pre_miRNA from 1 species